AGUGAGGGUAGAGGUGCAAACUUCAUGAGUAGAUAUGUGUAGAAGGAUGAGUCUUCAUGGAUACAUAUUUAAAGGGAAUUUUGCCGAAGCUAAAUAAAAUACUCAUCUUUUAUUUAGUUGGGACUGUGACUUAAUAAGUACAGGACUGUCAUAUAGCUGGCUAAGGCUAUAUGGAGGGCUAUCUCACGC
rnacentral:ncRNA from 2 species